ACCUUUCCUGCCAACCGAUCCAUCUGGACACAUCCGAUGGCGUCUGCCUGGUAGAGGGGGACUUUACUGGAAACGGAGCUAAUACCGCAUGACCUCGAAAGAGCAAAGAGGGGGAUCUUCGGACCUCACGCCAUCGGAUGUGCAAGAUGGGAUUAGCUAGUAGGUGAGGUAAUGGCUCUUUCCGCUGACGAUCCCUAGCUGGUCUGAGAGGAUGCCGGCCACGCUGGAACUGACCAGAUCCACUCUCAACGGGAGGCAGCAGUGGGGAAUAUUGCACAAUGGGCGCAAGCCUGAUGCAGCCAUGCCGCGUGUGUGAAGAAGGCCUUAGGGUUGUAAAGCACUUUCAGCGAGGAGGAAGGCAUCAUACUUAAUACGUGUGGUGAUUGACGUUACUCGCAGAAGAAGCACGGGGUAACUCCGUGCCAGCAGCCGCGGUAAUACGGAGGGUGCAAGCGUUAAUCGGAAUUACUGGGGGGAAGCGCACGCAGGCGGUUUGUUAAUCCGAUGUGAAAUCCCCGCGCUUAACGUGGAACUGCAUUUUAAACUGGCAGCUAGAGUCUUGGAGAGGGGGGAGAAUUCCCGGUGUAGCGGUGAAAUGCGAGAGAUCUGGAGGAUACCGGUGGCGAAGCGGCCCCCUGGACAAACUGACGCUCAGGUGCAAAGCG
rnacentral:rRNA from 1 species